AACGAACGCUGGCGGCAUGCCUAACACAUGCCAGUCGAACGAGACCUUCGGGUCUAGUGGCGCACGGGUGCGUAACGCGUGGGAACCUGCCCUUAGGUUCGGAAUAACUCCCCGAAAGGGGUGCUAAUACCGGAUAAUGUCUUCGGACCAAAGAUUUAUCGCCUUUGGAUGGGCCCGCGUUGGAUUAGCUAGUUGGUAGGGUAAAAGCCUACUAAGGCGACGAUCCAUAGCUGGUCUGAGAGGAUGAUCAGCCACACUGGGACUGAGACACGGCCCAGACUCCUACGGGAGGCAGCAGUGGGGAAUAUUGGACAAUGGGCGAAAGCCUGAUCCAGCAAUGCCGCGUGAGUGAUGAAGGCCUUAGGGUUGUAAAGCUCUUUUACCCGGGAUGAUAAUGACAGUACCGGGAGAAUAAGCUCCGGCUAACUCCGUG
rnacentral:rRNA from 1 species